GACGAACGCUGGCGGCGCGCUUAACACAUGCAAGUCGAGUGAGAACCAGGCUUCGGCCUGGGGAAAGCGGCGAGCGGGUGAGUAACACGUGGGUAACCCACCCUUGGCACUGGGAUAGCCCGAGGAAACUCGGAUUAAUACCGGAUGGCCCAACAGCUCUUCGGAGCGGUUGGAAAAGGUAGCUUCGGCCUCCGGCCAAGGACGGGCCCGCGGCGGAUUAGCUUGUUGGUGGGGUAACGGCCCACCAAGGCGACGAUCCGUAGCUGGUCUGAGAGGACGAUCAGCCACACUGGGACUGAGACACGGCCCAGACUCCUACGGGAGGCAGCAGUGGGGAAUCUUGCGCAAUGGGCGAAAGCCUGACGCAGCGACGCCGCGUGGGGGAAGAAGGCUUUCGGGUUGUAAACCCCUUUCAGGAGGGACGAAGCCACUCGGGUGAAUAGCCCAGAGGGUGACGGUACCUCCAGAAGAAGCCCCGGCUAACUACGUGCCAGCAGCCGCCGUAA
rnacentral:rRNA from 1 species